GGAAAGAUGCUCGAGUGGUUGAAGAGGCACGCCUGGAAAGCGUGUAUACCCCGAAAGGGUAUCGCGGGUUCGAAUCCCGCUCUUUCCG
rnacentral:tRNA from 1 species